GGUUAAGCGACUAAGCGUACACGGUGGAUGCCCUGGCAGUCAGAGGCGAUGAAGGACGUGCUAAUCUGCGAUAAGCGCCGGUAAGGUGAUAUGAACCGUUAUAACCGGCGAUUUCCGAAUGGGGAAACCCAGUGUGAUUCGUCACACUAUCAUUAACUGAAUCCAUAGGUUAAUGAGGCGAACCGGGGGAACUGAAACAUCUAAGUACCCCGAGGAAAAGAAAUCAACCGAGAUUCCCCCAGUAGCGGCGAGCGAACGGGGAGGAGCCCAGAGCCUGAAUCAGCAUGUGUGUUAGUGGAAGCGUCUGGAAAGGCGCGCGAUACAGGGUGACAGCCCCGUACACAAAAGCGCAUGUGCUGUGAGCUCGAUGAGUAGGGCGGGACACGUGGUAUCCUGUCUGAAUAUGGGGGGACCAUCCUCCAAGGCUAAAUACUCCUGACUGACCGAUAGUGAACCAGUACCGUGAGGGAAAGGCGAAAAGAACCCCGGCGAGGGGAGUGAAAAAGAACCUGAAACCGUGUACGUACAAGCAGUGGGAGCACCCUUUGGGGUGUGACUGCGUACCUUUUGUAUAAUGGGUCAGCGACUUAUAUUCUGUAGCAAGGUUAACCGUAUAGGGGAGCCGCAGGGAAACCGAGUCUUAACCGGGCGUUAAGUUGCAGGGUAUAGACCCGAAACCCGGUGAUCUAGCCAUGGGCAGGUUGAAGGUUGGGUAACACUAACUGGAGGACCGAACCGACUAAUGUUGAAAAAUUAGCGGAUGACCUGUGGCUGGGGGUGAAAGGCCAAUCAAACCGGGAGAUAGCUGGUUCUCCCCGAAAGCUAUUUAGGUAGCGCCUCGUGAAUUCAUCUCCGGGGGUAGAGCACUGUUUCGGCUAGGGGGCCAUCCCGGCUUACCAACCCGAUGCAAACUGCGAAUACCGGAGAAUGUUAUCACGGGAGACACACGGCGGGUGCUAACGUCCGUCGUGAAGAGGGAAACAACCCAGACCGCCAGCUAAGGUCCCAAAGUCAUGGUUAAGUGGGAAACGAUGUGGGAAGGCCCAGACAGCCAGGAUGUUGGCUUAGAAGCAGCCAUCAUUUAAAGAAAGCGUAAUAGCUCACUGGUCGAGUCGGCCUGCGCGGAAGAUGUAACGGGGCUAAACCAUGCACCGAAGCUGCGGCAGCGACGCUGAUGCGUUGUUGGGUAGGGGAGCGUUCUGUAAGCCUGCGAAGGUGGCCUGUGAGGGUUGCUGGAGGUAUCAGAAGUGCGAAUGCUGACAUAAGUAACGAUAAAGCGGGUGAAAAGCCCGCUCGCCGGAAGACCAAGGGUUCCUGUCCAACGUUAAUCGGGGCAGGGUGAGUCGACCCCUAAGGCGAGGCCGAAAGGCGUAGUCGAUGGGAAACGGGUUAAUAUUCCCGUACUUGGUGUUACUGCGAAGGGGGGACGGAGAAGGCUAUGUUGGCCGGGCGACGGUUGUCCCGGUUUAAGCGUGUAGGUGUGUGUUCCAGGUAAAUCCGGUUCACUUUAACACUGAGGCGUGAUGACGAGGCACUACGGUGCUGAAGCAACAAAUGCCCUGCUUCCAGGAAAAGCCUCUAAGCAUCAGGUAACAUCAAAUCGUACCCCAAACCGACACAGGUGGUCAGGUAGAGAAUACCAAGGCGCUUGAGAGAACUCGGGUGAAGGAACUAGGCAAAAUGGUGCCGUAACUUCGGGAGAAGGCACGCUGACACGUAGGUGAAGUGAUUUACUCAUGGAGCUGAAGUCAGUCGAAGAUACCAGCUGGCUGCAACUGUUUAUUAAAAACACAGCACUGUGCAAACACGAAAGUGGACGUAUACGGUGUGACGCCUGCCCGGUGCCGGAAGGUUAAUUGAUGGGGUCAGCGCAAGCGAAGCUCCUGAUCGAAGCCCCGGUAAACGGCGGCCGUAACUAUAACGGUCCUAAGGUAGCGAAAUUCCUUGUCGGGUAAGUUCCGACCUGCACGAAUGGCGUAAUGAUGGCCAGGCUGUCUCCACCCGAGACUCAGUGAAAUUGAACUCGCUGUGAAGAUGCAGUGUACCCGCGGCAAGACGGAAAGACCCCGUGAACCUUUACUAUAGCUUGACACUGAACAUUGAGCCUUGAUGUGUAGGAUAGGUGGGAGGCUUUGAAGUGUGGACGCCAGUCUGCAUGGAGCCGACCUUGAAAUACCACCCUUUAAUGUUUGAUGUUCUAACGUGGACCCGUAAUCCGGGUUGCGGACAGUGUCUGGUGGGUAGUUUGACUGGGGCGGUCUCCUCCUAAAGAGUAACGGAGGAGCACGAAGGUUGGCUAAUCCUGGUCGGACAUCAGGAGGUUAGUGCAAUGGCAUAAGCCAGCUUGACUGCGAGCGUGACGGCGCGAGCAGGUGCGAAAGCAGGUCAUAGUGAUCCGGUGGUUCUGAAUGGAAGGGCCAUCGCUCAACGGAUAAAAGGUACUCCGGGGAUAACAGGCUGAUACCGCCCAAGAGUUCAUAUCGACGGCGGUGUUUGGCACCUCGAUGUCGGCUCAUCACAUCCUGGGGCUGAAGUAGGUCCCAAGGGUAUGGCUGUUCGCCAUUUAAAGUGGUACGCGAGCUGGGUUUAGAACGUCGUGAGACAGUUCGGUCCCUAUCUGCCGUGGGCGCUGGAGAACUGAGGGGGGCUGCUCCUAGUACGAGAGGACCGGAGUGGACGCAUCACUGGUGUUCGGGUUGUCAUGCCAAUGGCACUGCCCGGUAGCUAAAUGCGGAAGAGAUAAGUGCUGAAAGCAUCUAAGCACGAAACUUGCCCCGAGAUGAGUUCUCCCUGAGACUUAGAGUCUCCUGAAGGAACGUUGAAGACGACGACGUUGAUAGGCCGGGUGUGUAAGCGCAGCGAUGCGUUGAGCUAACCGGUACUAAUGAACCGUGAGGCUUAACCUU
rnacentral:rRNA from 1 species